AUACAGAGGGUGCGAGCGUUAAUCGGAAUUACUGGGCGUAAAGCGCGCGUAGGCGGCUUAUUAAGUCAGAUGUGAAAUCCCCGGGCUCAACCUGGGAACUGCAUCUGAUACUGGUAAGCUAGAGUUUUGGAGAGGGAAGUAGAAUUUCAGGUGUAGCGGUGAAAUGCAUAGAGAUCUGAAGGAAUACCAGUGGCGAAGGCGGCUUCCUGGCCUAAAACUGACGCUGAGGUGCGAAAGCGUGGGUAGCAAACGGAAUUAGAAACCCGAGUAGUCC
rnacentral:rRNA from 1 species